UACAGAGGUCUCAAGCGUUGUUCGGAUUCAUUGGGCGUAAAGGGUGUGUAGGUGGCGCCGUAAGUCGGGUGUGAAAUUUUAGAGCUUAACUCUGAAACUGCAUUCGAUACUGCGGUGCUUGAGGACUGGAGAGGAGACUGGAAUUUACGAUGUAGCAGUGAAAUGCGUAGAUAUCGUAAGGAAGACCAGUGGCGAAGGCGGGUCUCUGGACAGUUCCUGACACUGAGACACGAAGGCCAGGGGAGCAAACGGG
rnacentral:rRNA from 1 species